UAUUUUGUACUUCAUGUGACGUUUAAAGAUAUAAAGAUAAUCACCUGCCUCCAACUAAAUGAAUUUGAAUUUGGAAUACUUUAGUCCAGGCCAUUUUCUGACUUUGAAGUGACUUUUAUUUUCUUGGUCCUGUGCAGUUGUUAAUCAAACUAAUAUACGUGCGAACGCACAGUUUUUUUUUUUUCAAUGUCAACUUAUUUUUUUAGAAAUGGUGAAUUAUUUUAACGUGUGCCAAUACAUUAGAACCUAACUGUAGUUCUCAGAUCUCUGUGGUCAUUAGACCCAACAGCUGUUUAGAAUUAAAGAAAGAUCUACAAACUAUUUUAUAUUUUAGCAUUUUAAUAUACGUAGAUGAAGAUUUCAUUUUCAUGUUUUAGUCUUUUUUGUGUGUGGAGGGGGUGAUGAAGAGAGAGGACUUUUGAGAGAUUGAUACUUGAUCUACAGAGAUGACAGUAGAAGUAAUCAAUAGUCUACAGUGGCUUUAUUUAAAAGCGAUUUGAUAUUUAGAGAAUUUCCCCAGACACAGAUGAAUCCUAGUCCUGGACUAAAGCGCUAUUUCAAUGGAGAUUUUCCAUUGAGCAAAUUUUUUAGUACUAAACUAAACCUAACUUUAAUCUGUGUCUGGGGAAACCUGCCAUUAAAGUUGAUUUCCGUUUCCUAUUUACUCCGUUACUGUUAAUAUUAUGUUAUUAUUAUCAAUGUUCCCUAUAAACUGCGUGGGCGCACGGCUCCCUGGGACUUCAGCCCGCGCAGAGAUGUACGAGAUCGAACGGUCUAGUUUUCCCUUUUAGUUAACACUAUCCGCGUUUCGCUUUACUGUGCGAAUUAGGAUUGAAUCAACGCAAUAUUAGCCAUUUUCAAUGCAACCACACUGAAAGAAAACCAAGAGAUGUUCUUGUAGGCAGAGAGAGUUGGAGUAGGAAUCUAUUGUAUUGACAGGCACGACACAGGCCCAUACUCUACACCGACCGAUGCGCCAUAACCAAUCAGAGCUGCAGUAUCCCUAUAUUCGGUCUUAAAGAGGCAGUGAUGUAUUUUGAGACGUGCUUGAAUAAGCUCAGUAAGCAAAUAAACGGAAGGGUAGCAAUAAUUUGUCUGAUUCGCUGUAAUAAUGCUAUGAGAAUAACAAUGCAUUUUAUUUUGUCAAGUGGUUUCUUGCAUCAAACAACACAACAACGUGUUCAGUCACCUCCUUGUCUAAAGGACAAGUGGAUGAACAGGUUGUCAAUCCCUGCACGUUUGUUUCAACAGUCUCGUGGAACGUACGCCUGCAUUGAACACCACACAUUGACUGCUACUGUAGGUUGAACGAUAGAAGGGCUAUUUCCAUGUUAAAAUGCUAUGGGAUGCAUUUUCUCCAUUGUUUUUUAUGGUAGGCUACUCUGGUAGACCCUACGUUAUGAUCAAAUAUCCAGAGCAGCUUACUUGGCCACUGUUAAAACUGUGACUGAAAGCAGGUACAGCCUCAGUGUUCGCAGUAAAACUGUAACUUAAAGCAGGUACAGCCUCAGUGUUCACAGUAAAACUGUAACUUAAAGCAGGUACAGCCUCAGUGUUCACAGUAAAACUGUAACUUAAAGCAGGUACAGCCUCAGUGUUCACAGUAAAGCAGGUACAGCCUCAGUGUUCACAGUAAAGCAGGUACAGCCUCAGUGUUCACAGUAAAGCAGGUACAGCCUCAGUGUUCACAGUAAAGCAGGUACAGCCUCAGUGUUCACAGUAAAGCAGGUACAGCCUCAGUGUUCACAGUAAAGCAGGUACAGCCUCAGUGUUCACAGUAAAGCAGGUACAGCCUCAGUGUUCACAGUAAAGCAGGUACAGCCUCAGUGUUCACAGUAAAGCAGGUACAGCCUCAGUGUUCACAGUAAAGCAGGUACAGCCUCAGUGUUCACAGUAAAGCAGGUACAGCCUCAGUGUUCACAGUAAAGCAGGUACAGCCUCAGUGUUCACAGUAAAGCAGGUACAGCCUCAGUGUUCACAGUAAAGCAGGUACAGCCUCAGUGUUCACAGUAAACGCGCGCCAGAUGUUGCACAGAAUUUUCACAAUGUUCAAGUUUGUGCUCAAAAGACCUGAAAUUUGCUCAAUUGCCGAAGGAACAUUGAUCACUAUUGUGUUUCCUUUAAUAGUGUAUUGUUACUGUUCUGUCCUCUGCUUUUACUACUGUUGCAUAGCUAAAAAUGUUUGAUUUUAAGAUCUGCUACUAAAAGUAAAUAAUGCCUGAGAAAAAUAAACUUCAGUAUUGUACUCUGUUUUUACCUGGCUGUCUGAAAUGUUGAGGGGGGGUGAUCUGUUAUUUUUUUUUGUACAAUACGACAUCUUAGUAUUUUUUUUUUCUUAAGGCUUUUCAAAAUAAAAGGUAUUUUUAGGGUA